UCUAGACGUUUCUUGAAAAGCUCCAGGGACAGUGACUCCACCAUCGUUUCACUGUUUCUGAAUCUCAUCUGCUGAAAGCAUUGAAUGAGUUUGCCUUUUCUUUUCAAGUUCUGGGUCUAUUGGAUACACUAGUCUAAACCAGCCCUGAUAAUAAGAGUCUGCAGAAGGGGGCCUUUUCUCCAGUAGAGCAUACCAAGCACAGCCCAGAAAGAAGACAGGGUGCACAUCCCUUUUUCCUGUAUAUUUGAACAUCUUCAAAAAAGCAUCACUACAUACACAGGAACCAAUGAAACUGUCUACCAAGCAAAAUGAGACCUGACAAAACAUGGAGAAGAAGCAAGUAAAUGAAAUAUAAGAAUCCCAUGAAGAAAACACCUUUUUCUGUGAUGUUCAAAAAAUGUUGCUAUUAUUGCCAAGAGGAGGUUAGAGAUGGUCAAACAGGAUGGAAUUAAACCAGCCUACAACUCAGUAAUGAGAGAAUUACAACAGAGAACUAUGUUCUGGCAUAGUUUACUGUAGUUCUGUGAUCCAACCAUGUACCAAGAGCGGAGGAAAGCACGGAGGCUCUGAGCUGUGAUCCUGUGAACCUUCUGCAUGUCACUACUGCUGCUGUGCUGAGGCUGUGAGCCUAUGUCAUCUUAACUGUCUGGUGGAAAUCAGAAGCAACUUCCUUCAUAGACCAUGGACAUAAACCACUCUAAAGAGUGAUGAAAUAAGAAUCGGGGACCAUUGUGUUUUUGUGUUGUUGUUAGAUUUUUUGUUUGUUUGUUUUUAAUUUGGAGGUAGUUAAUCGCAAAUAGCUGAUCUUUCCUGAGUAAGCUCUGCUGAAGCUGAAGGUGAUUUACUCUUUCCCAUUAAUAAUAUUUCUCUAAUGCAUUUCUUACCUUGACACAUGCUGGCUAUUAAGCUACAGUACGCCUAGAGGACAGUGUCUCAAGACUUACUUAUCCAUUUCUUAAGCUCUACUUUUCACUAAAAUUGCAGUAGCCUUUUCUCUUCCCAGCAUAAACUUACUUUUUCUUUUCUUUUCUUUUCUUUUUUUUUUUUUUAAGGCCAAAAUUGCAUCUUCAAGGAAACCUUACAGCUAGGGCUCCCAAACUGAGAAGUUUAGAGGACUUAUUGUUGCACAUGCUGUAUACAUCUACUUAAAUAAAACAUUCAUCCAUGG
ensembl:lncRNA